rnacentral:rRNA from 1 species
GUAGUAUUUAUUARAUUGAAACCAACCCCUUCGGGGUGAUGUGGUGAUUCAUAAAAAGCUCCCCUUCGGGGGCCUCAGGGGGGCGAUGGAUCAUUCAAGUAUCUGCCCUAUCASCUUUGGAAGGGAUGGUAUUGGCCUACCAUGGAUUUAACGGGGAAGGGGAAAUUAGGGUUUGAUUCCGGAGAGAGAGCCUGAGGGACAGCUACCACUUCCUAGGGAGGGAGCGGGYGCGAAAAUUACCCAAUCCUGACRGAAGGAGGUAGGGACAAUAAAUAACAAUGCCKGGCCUUUGGAGGUCUGGMCAUUGAAAUGAAAACAAUUUAAACCCCUUAUCGAGUAUCAAUUGGAGGGCAAGUUUGGAGCCCGCAUCCGCKAUAAUUCCAGCUCCAAUASUGGAUAUUAAAGUUGUUGCAAUUAAAAAGCUCGUAGUUGGAUUUGUGGCUGUCACAAGUGGCAUAUCACCUAKUGUUAGUGCUUGCUGGUGUCGCCAUCCUUAAGUGAAGGCCGUGUGGUGUUGGKGUCKCCWGCCKUAGAUGCACCUCGUGUASUGUKAGAAURUYAKGCKGUKCAURGCCM